rnacentral:misc_RNA from 1 species
ACGUUGAGGAGAGAUCCCCGAGUAUCUGAUACAUCUGCUCGAUGCUUUCUCUUCAUUCGUGACGCUCGAGUUACACGAGUUACGUCAGAGUGACGGAGAUUGACGACAGCGGCGUUGUUCGAGGCAUCAACUGAAUAACGAGGUUUCAGCCUGUAUAAUACCAGAGAGAAACCUGAGAGCGGCCACCAGCCUCCUGACGUUUGGCGUCGCCUGACAAAGUGGACGUGAACUAGUUCACGCUUCCCACCACAGACAACAGCACACGGCGGCAACCCAUCCGAGCGCUCACCGUGCCCAACGUUGCUUGACUUCAGUGAUCGACGGGAACUGGUGUUUUGCAACGUGGUGCGGCCGUUGUCAGUUCGUUAAGGGGAGAUUCUCAUGUAACGAGUCAAAAAAUUCGAUUUUUUUUGCUUAAAUCAACUCUAAUACAUGUGGAAAAUAUGUUCCUAAAGUUACAGAUCGAUAUUCGACCUCUACGUAUAGUUAUAGUCGAGUUUUCAACCGCGCGUUGAGUAGGUAGCUGGGAGCGCUCGGAGCGGAGACACGCGUCUCGUCUGCCCUCACUCAUACACUCGUACAUAACAAACAGCUUCGCAGGUAUACGUCUAACGGUUUUCUUUUGUUGGGAUAUACCUUCGUGUACUUGUAUAGCUGAGGCAGGAAAUUUUUGCGGCAGUCACAAUAGUGUACGCUUGCCUGUUGUUUCUCAGACGUUCUCAGUCGUGUUUCGGAUUCUAGUCUGCGUAGAAGUCGUAAUAAAAGACUUGCAAAGAUGCGAAAAGGAAGCAAAGAGAGUACGUAUCGUUCUUCGAGGCCGCGUAAACGUGUGUUCAGUGGCAAUCAGAGUACGAAGGAUGAUAAUGCUCCGAGAGGACAAAGUGCCAGUGCCAAAAAAUUGAAUACUGCGCAAUCGGAAGAAAUUCCCGUUUAUCAAUCGCACUGUUACAGAAUUCUAGACUUUAUCACGGUAUUUACGGCACUUUCAGACUUACUUGUGUGCAGAGAGUGCAAGCAAACUGUUUCUUUUGCACAGAGUGCUAAUCGUGGACUCGGUUUCAAGAUUUUACUUUCGUGCCGAUGUGGUAGAAGACACAUUAGUUCUUCUCCUUUUAUAAACAACAGUUAUGAGAUCAAUCGUAGAAUCGUUUUUGUCAUGAGAUUGUUAGGUAUUAGUAGAGAAGGCAUCAAUUUAUUUUGUAGCCUUAUGGAUUUAGGGAAGGGCAUCAGUACGAAUGCUUAUUAUGCCAUCUUGCAACACAUUUAUGACGCCUCAAGAAUAGUUUUUCUUUUGCUGCGGAAAAAAGCCGUGAGAGAGGAGCAAGUGGAAAAUGAACAAAGAGAAAGGCCUUCAAAUAAUUUAAAAGUUUCUGGUGACGGCUCCUGGCAAAAACGCGGCUUUUCUUCAUUAUAUGCAGUAACUACUCUCAUCGGAUAUUACUCUGGAAAAGUGAUUGAUCUUGUCGUAAAGGGAAGCUACUGUCAGGCUUGUGUACUAUGGAAAAGUAAAGAAGGCACGGAUGAAUAUCUAGAAUGGGCAGAAGCACACGAGGAUGAAUGCUGCAUAAAUCAUGAUGGUUUUUCAGGAAAAAUGGAGGUGGAUUCCAUAAAGGAAAUGUUCGCGAGAUCUGAGGAGGAGUUAGAUGUCAGGUACGGCAACUACAUCGGCGACGGAGAUUCUAAAACUUUUAAUGGUAUACUGGAUUUGAAUCCAUAUGGCGAUGAUUGUACAGUAAUUACAAAUGAAUGUAUCGGGCACGUCGAGAAAAGAAUGAGUACACGGCUCCGCAAUUUGAAGAGAAAAGAAAAAUUAGGUGGAAGAGGAAAAUUGACUGAUAUAUUGAUAAAAUAACUAACUACUUAUUACGGAUUAGCAAUUCGUCGAAAUGUUGAUUCUGUCGAUGAUAUGAAAAGAGAUAUAAUGGCAACAUAUAAACAUUUGUGCUCAACAAAUGAAAAUCCAAUGCACGAGAAUUGUCCGCCGGGCGUACAGAGCUGGUGCAAAUGGCGUGUUGCUGAAGUUACCGGAGCUACUUUUGACCACCCCGCCCCACUUCACCCAGAUCUUCAAAAACAUUUAUUGCCUUUAUACAAAGAUUUGUCUAAGGAUGAACUUCUUCAAAGAUGUUUAGGCGGACAUACACAAAAUGCAAACGAGAGCUUCAAUUCGUGUGUUUGGCGUUUGGUUCCGAAACAUUUAUAUUGUGGCAUCCGAACAAUAGAAAUAGCCACAUAUAUUGCUGCAGGAUUAUUCAACGAAGGCUAUUUCGCCAUUUUUAAAAUUAUGGACACAUUAGAACUAAAGAUCGGUACCCAUUGUAAGGAGUAUGCAGACUCGUAUGACGCCGCGCGGAUACGGCGACAAGAGCGACGAAGCCUCAGCAGCUCGAAAGAAGCUCGAACUGCUCGCAAAGAAGUGAAUUUACAACAGCAGCAGUUAUACGAGGAUGCAGAAGGCCUACUAUAUGGCCCUGGAAUCGCCGAUUAGGACUACCAUUACAGCGGAUGCUAGACUGCACACCGUUUGACACCUGCGACGCCGAAGCCGCUGAAGACGGCGUCCAUACCUAUAUCUAUAUAUAUGUUUUUUUUAACCAAAAAAAUAUUUUUAUAUUCUCUUUACAUGUAUUGAUGUACUAUUAAAGUUUGAGAUCCUUUGACUAAAUACGUUCU